UACGUAGGGUGCGAGCGUUAAUCGGAAUUAUUGGGCGUAAAGCGCGCGCAGGUGGUUCCUUAAGUCUGAUGUGAAAGCCCACGGCUCAACCGUGGAGGGUCAUUGGAAACUGGGGAACUUGAGUGCAGAAGAGGAAAGUGGAAUUCCAAGUGUAGCGGUGAAAUGCGUAGAUAUCAGGAGGAAUACCGGUGGUGUAGACGGCUCUCUGGACCGCCACUGACGCUGAGACACGAAAGCGUGGGUAGCAAACAGG
rnacentral:rRNA from 1 species